rnacentral:rRNA from 1 species
GAUGAACGCUAGCGGCAGGCCUAACACAUGCAAGUCGAGGGGCAUCAUGGCGUAGCAAUACGCUGAUGGCGACCGGCGCACGGGUGCGUAACGCGUAUGGAACCUACCCACCGCAGGGGGAUAACCCGCCGAAAGGCGGACUAAUACCCCAUGGUUCCCCGACCCUGCCUGGGGUUGGGGGUAAAGCCUACGGGCGGCGGUGGAUGGCCCUGCGUGCCAUUAGCUGGCUGGUGGGGUAACGGCCCACCAGGGCGACGAUGGCUAGGGGGUCUGAGAGGACGAUCCCCCACACUGGUACUGAGACACGGACCAGACUCCUACGGGAGGCAGCAGUGAGGAAUAUUGGUCAAUGGGUGGGAGCCUGAACCAGCCAAGUCGCGUGAAGGAAGAAGGAUCUAUGGUUCGUAAACUUCUUUUGCAGGGGAAUAAAGUGCAGGACGUGUCCUGUUUUGUAUGUACCCUGAGAAUAAGGAUCGGCUAACUCCGUG